rnacentral:rRNA from 1 species
GUUCCUACGGGGGGCAGCAGUAGGGAAUCUUCCGCAAUGGACGAAAGUCUGACGGAGCAACGCCGCGUGAGUGAUGAAGGCUUUCGGGUCGUAAAACUCUGUUGUUAGGGAAGAACAAGUGCUAGUUGAAUAAGCUGGCACCUUGACGGUACCUAACCAGAACGCCACGGCUAACUACGUGCCAGCAGCCGCGGUAAUACGUAGGUGGCAAGCGUUAUCCGGAAUUAUUGGGCGUACAGCGCGCGCAGGCGGUUUCUUAAGUCUGAUGUGAGAGCCCACGGCGCAACCGUGGAGGGUCAUUGGAA